UUCGGAUAACCUAUUUUUUUAUUUUUCAAAAAUUAAAGUUCAUAUAUACUUUAUUUUUUUCGAAAUCUAAAACUAAAAAUAAUAUAUAACAUAUAAAUUUGAAUAAUGUAUGCCAAAAUACUUAAACUUAACAUAAAAAUGGUUUAGCUUAAAUAUUUGGAUAGGAAAUAAAUAGAUAUUUUAAGUAUUUUCGGUAUUAUAAGUAUCGUUUAAAUUUAAACAUGUACUUAUAACUAUUUGUAUAUAUUUUCAAGUAUUUUGGACAACUUCAAAACGUCUUAUAUAUUUUGUAUAUUUUCUGAUAUAUUAAAUUUAAAAAUAAUUAAUAUAUUUAAGUAUAUAAAUCUUGUUCGGAUAUAUUCGGAUACCUAAAAUAUUUCAGUUUGGAUCGGGUUCGGUUU
rnacentral:lncRNA from 1 species